rnacentral:rRNA from 1 species
UACGUAGGCAGCGAGCGUUGUUCGGAGUUACUGGGCGUAAAGGGUGUGUAGGCGGUUGUUUAAGUUUGGUGUGAAAUCUCCCGGCUCAACCGGGAGGGUGCGCCGAAUACUGAAUGACUAGAGUGCGGGAGAGGAGAGUGGAAUUCCUGGUGUAGCGGUGAAAUGCGUAGAUAUCAGGAGGAACACCGGUGGUGUAGACGGCUCUCUGGACCGUAACUGACGCUAAGGCACGAAAGCGUGGGUAGCAAACAGG